UCUCUUCUUUUUCAUAGUCAUCUGAGAGAGGAUUCUGCAAGUGUUCAUCAUAACCUGCUUUUAUAGCACCUCAAACUUCAAACCCGAGCCUUAAAACCUCUCUGUCCUGACCAAAUGAAGGAAAGGAGAAGCAUAAAAUGUGAUGCAUGAUCUACGAUGUGAGAGCACAGUGGCUUCUUCUCCAGAGAAACUCUAGUUCCAUCCUGCUGUGCGAAGGAUGGCCAAGAGUCCAGAACCAUCACAAUGCAAGUGAGGCUUUCCAUGUCAUGCUUUUAGCCCUCUCCUUGGCUCCAGGGAGGUGUUGGACAAUGUGCACAUAUUCUUUUGCUCUGGAAACUCAUAGGCUUUCUAGAUCUGGUUUGCAAAGCUGAUCAGCUUUGUUUGUGAGAUUUUCACAUGACAGCUAGGGUCACCUGUUACAGGAAGGAGAAGCACAGUGCAAUCAAUUCUGUUAGAUAACACUACUCAUAUGCAUGCUUUCUUCAGAUGUUCACCUCUGUGUUGUGGCUUCAUCUAUGUGUUGUAUACAUUGACAAUCUCAGCACAAAUAAUCUAUAUAUCUUAGUCUCUGAACAUUUUCUGUUGGUUUUGAAGAUUUCGAUGUAGUUCCUUUAAGGAAUGUAAGAAUGUAGGAAACGUUCUCUGAAAGCUUCUUUCUGUAGUGAUGGACAAGCAGAGGAGAAAAAAAAGAAAGAAAAAAGAACAAAUUAGUCACUGUGUGUUCAGAUUUAGAAAUUGUGUAACUUAAAUAAAUGCUUAAUACAGAUUCUGCCAAAGUGAAAGGUGAUAAAUUGAGAAAUGGAAAAUACACUCUCUUACAUAUUCUCAACACAGGAUAUUGUAUAAAUCCCCUCACUGGUUAGGCUGCAUUUCUGCAAGAAAUUCAGAACAAUAGGAAAGCUGUCUCCCCAUUCCCACCCCUGAAAUCACUCAUGUGAGGAAUGUCUGAAACUGUUGAGACUUUAAAAGCUGCAUUCUCAUGCAAUAUGAUCUGUCAAUUUUAGGUUUAUUUUUAGAACAUAUAGUAGGCCUGUGUUUACAUUAGAGCCAUGAGGGAAAUUUUCUAGCACCUUCAUUGAGAUGCCUUAAUUUUUGUUUGUUGAUAGUACGUGUAGUUAUGUGAAGCCAUUGAGAAUUAGAAUUUUUCUCUGAACAGCAUGUACAAUUUGUUAGUAUCAACAGAAUAUAUCAUGCCUUGCUUUAAAGCACUUUCUCUUUGACUUGUCUUUCUGGAAUCAGAAAGUUUCUUUGUGGCUGUUUUUGUUGUUGUUUGUUUGUUUUCAUGUUCAACCACAACUUAAAUGAAAUGAUUC
rnacentral:lncRNA from 7 species